CCUACGGGUGGCUGCAGUGGGGAAUAUUGGGCAAUGGAGGAAACUCUGACCCAGCAACGCCGCGUGAAUGAUGAAGGUCUUCGGAUUGUAAAGUUCUUUUCUAAGGGAAGAAGAAAGUGACGGUACCUUAGGAAUAAGCCUCGGCUAACUACGUGCCAGCAGCCGCGGUAAUACGUAGGAGGCAAGCGUUAUCCGGAAUGACUGGGCGUAAAGGGUGCGUAGGUGGUUUGAUAAGUUGGUAGCGUAACUCCGAGGCUCAACCUCGGCACUACUACCAAAACUGUCGGACUUGAGUGCAGGAGGGGCAACUGGAAUUCCUAGUGUAGCGGUGGAAUGCGUAGAUAUUAGGAGGAACACCAGUGGCGAAGGCGAGUUGCUGGACUGUUACUGACACUGAGGCACGAAAGCGUGGGGAGCAAACAGGAUUAGAUACCCGUGUAGUC
rnacentral:rRNA from 1 species